AUUUGUACACAAAAGCUGGGGAGAGCUUUUCCACUGCCUUCCACAUUCAUUCUCUGUCCAUCUCAGAGAAGCUGAAAAACAGAAUCAAGUCAGCAAGCAGUCUGCAAGCCUAAGGAAGAAAAAGAGCUGACCCAUCCGGCUCUGGAUGGAUAACUGGCAACACCCAAGAUGUCUAUGAUUUUGGCCUUCUGUUUGAGGCUUGUUUAUUUCUUUAAUCAGCAGCUACCAGGACUUAUUUCAUGCAGAGAAAUGACAUAAAGCUCUAGAGGAAGGAGCAUUUCACAUUGGAAGGAGUAGUGAGAAGGGCCUGAUCUGAUAAUAUCAGGAUGGGUGGGAAGGGUCCAUUCCUCAUCAUUCAUGUUCUCCCGGCACAGAGGACUGUGUGGAGGACUCAGGAUUUAGGACCAUACUCAACUGGGGUUUGAUCUCCACUUUGCCCUGCGGUGGCCCCUCUGGUAGCUAUGUGGAUCCUGGGCAGAUUGUCCAUGUUGCUGGGCCUCCGUUGCUUCACUGUAUGACGUCUGCCUCUCA
rnacentral:lncRNA from 1 species